UACAGAGGGGGCAAGCGUUGUUCGGAAUUACUGGGCGUAAAGGGCGCGUAGGCGGCCUUCUAAGUCGAACGUGAAAUCCCCGGGCUCAACCCGGGAACUGCGUCCGAUACUGGUAGGCUUGAAUUCGGGAGAGGGAUGCGGAAUUCCAGGUGUAGCGGUGAAAUGCGUAGAUAUCUGGAGGAACACCGGUGGCGAAGGCGGCAUCCUGGACCGACACUGACGCUGAGGAGCGAAAGCAUGGGUAGCGAACAGG
rnacentral:rRNA from 1 species